rnacentral:rRNA from 1 species
ACAGUGGGGAAUAUUGGACAAAUGGGCGCAAGCCUGAUCCAGCCAUACCGCGUGGGUGAAGAAGGCCUUCGGGUUGUAAAGCCCUUUUGUUGGGAAAGAAAUCUUGCCGGUUAAUACCUGGCGAGGAUGACGGUACCCAAAGAAUAAGCACCGGCUAACUUCGUGCCAGCAGCCGCGGUAAUACGAAGGGUGCAAGCGUUACUCGGAAUUACUGGGCGUAAAGCGUGCGUAGGUGGUGGUUUAAGUCUGCUGUGAAAGCCCUGGGCUCAACCUGGGAAUUGCAGUGGAUACUGGGUCACUAGAGUGUGGUAGAGGGAUGCGGAAUUUCCGGUGUAGCAGUGAAAUGCGUAGAGAUCGGAAGGAACAUCCGUGGCGAAGGCGGCAUCCUGGGCCAACACUGACACUGAGGCACGAAAGCGUGGGGAGCAAACAGGAUUAGAUACCCUGGUAGUCCACGCCCUAAACGAUGCGAACUGGAUGUUGGGUGCAACUUGGCACCCAGUAU